GGGCCGAGAUCAUGUCUGACUGGGAGAGGUUUCCUUGGCAGCAGAGGACGCUAGGUUUGGGAUGAAAGAAGCUGGGCAGAUGCAAAAUCUGGAGAGCGCGAGGGCCGGGCGGUCAGUCAGCACCCAGACUGGCAGCAUGACCGGUCAGAUACCAAGGCUUUCUAAAGUCAACCUUUUCACUCUGCUCAGCCUCUGGAUGGAGCUCUUUCCAGCAGAAGCCCAGCGGCAAAAAUCUCAGAAAAAUGAAGAGGGAAAGCAUGGACCCUUAGGAGAUAAUGAAGAGAGGACCAGAGUAUCUACUGACAAAAGACAGAAAACCAUGUUCUGCUUGUUUGAAAAUGAUUGUAAAUGGAUUACUGGAAGCAGCUAAGAUGCCUAGAUGAAAGGUUUACCAUCACUGCUGGUUAGGAAAUGGAUUAUGAGAACUCGAACAGAGGGAAGGUGAAAUGCAACCGGAGGAAACACUCUGAUAUGAGCUGGAGUUAACCGAAUUUCAUACUGGCCUGCUGAUCCAGAAAUAAGUUUGCUUACGGAGGCUUCUAGUUCUGAAGAUGCAAAGUUAGAUGCCAAAGCAGUGGAAAGAUUGAAGUCAAACAGUCGGGCCCAUGUGUGUGUCUUACUUCAACCUUUGGUGUGUUAUAUGG
rnacentral:lncRNA from 1 species